rnacentral:rRNA from 1 species
UUGGAAGUAAAAGUCGUAACAAGGUCUCCGUUGGUGAACCAGCGGAGGGAUCAUUACCGAGUUCUAACAAACUCCCAAACCCCUGUGAACAUACCUACUGUUGCUUCGGCGGGAUCGCCCCGGGCGCCUUCGCGGUGCCCCGGAACCAGGCGCCCGCCGGGGACACCAAACUCUUGAUUGUUAUAGUGGCAUUCUCUGAGUAAAUUAUACAAAUAAGUCAAAACUUUCAACAACGGAUCUCUUGGCUCUGGCAUCGAUGAAGAACGCAGCGAAAUGCGAUAAGUAAUGCGAAUUGCAGAAUUCAGUGAAUCAUCGAAUCUUUGAACGCACAUUGCGCCCGCCAGUAUUCUGGCGGGCAUGCCUGUCUGAGCGUCAUUUCAACCCUCGUACCCGGUUCGCUGGGAACGGUGUUGGGGAUCGGCCGCCCGUCACUGGGAGGCCGGCCCCGAAAUAGAGUGGCGACCACGCCGUGUGCUCCUCUGCGUAGUAGUAAAUCACCUCGCAGGCGGACAGCGGUGCGGCCUGCCGUAAAACCCCCAACUCUUUCUAUGGUUGACCUCAGAUCAGGUAGGAAUACCCGCUGAACUUAAGCAUAUCAAUAAGCCGGAGGA